UGGCUCAAGGGAGUGGGGGAAGGGACCCUGCAAGUAUCUGAAGCUACGCCGGACACCUCCAGGCUAGGAGGCCAUGGCUCGAAGGACAGGCAGGAGGUCCCCCAGGCUAUCCGUCGCCUCUUUUUUCCCCAUUCUUCUUUCUUGAUGGAUUUCCCUUGUAAGGUGACAGAAAUCACAAAGCUAUUUUUAGCAGUGACAGAAGAAUGCCUCCUAGGAAAUCCCCUUGUUUGGAAAGAUCAUUCAUUAAGCGCUUGAGGUAGAAGGUGACACCCCCAAAGGGUGGGGGUGAGCGCACUGGAGACCCUGGGAAAGCCUGCUGUCAGUCUUUUCUCUGUCCCGUCACAAGUCCCACCGCUGUGGGGGAGGAUGGGGCCCCUAGAGCAAGACCCAGCUCCAGCACGUUCCAUGUUUGGGCUGAUCUGCACAGAUUCCGGGCAGCAAGCUGCAUGUGCCACGUGGAGCCCAGCUUGGGGAUUCAGGUCACCACCCGGAGAUCAAGACCUGAACUGAGAUUAAGAGUCACCGUCUUCCAGAUUAAGAGCCACCCAGGCACCCCCUAAACAAUGUAUUUUCAGACUCCCAACAACAUUGUAUUUGGGGAUAAGGAGCAACUGGAAAACAAAGCUGUUAAAUCCGAAAUUCUUUGGAAAAAUACACGUCAGAAUAAGCAAGAAACACAGAAGACGAUGGGACUUGGCUUGCCCUAACAGAUAUUAACACAUACAAUGAUUCAAUAAGAUCCCGAGCAAAAGAAUAAAUACAUCAAUGCAAAAGAAUGAGAAAACCUAAUAUUGUCUAAAUAAAAUUUCCUAUAUGCUAAA